rnacentral:lncRNA from 1 species
UACCUCCAAGGUCUAACAAUCUUGCCUUAAGGCUCGACAGCAGACCGCCACGAUCAGACUCAUUCAGUUGUACUUCCCCGUAAUCACUAGGCUUGUCAGGCCCUACCUAUAUGAUGACAAAAUAAUCUCCACUUCACAAAUUCACAAUAUUUACUUUCUCCCCUCGUUGGUAUAUGAUACUCCAUUAAUACCGUCGUCUCAGACACAAAUUGAAAUCACAAUAUUCCCAUCACAAUUUAUAAUAUCACUAUAAUGAAUCACACAUCAUCAUUAUCAUCAUCAUCACAUAAACUCAUCACAAUUUAUAGAAUCACUAUUAUCAAUCAUACAUCAACACAUAUAUUCAUCACAAAUUUAUCACAUCACCAUUAUUAAUCAUACAUUAUCAUCAUUACAUAUAAUUAUCACAACACAUCUAUUUUUAUUAUAACAUCAUUUAAACUCAUCUAAUCAAACAUAUGCAUAAAAUAAAUUCAACAACCAAUAUCACAAUAAUAUUACACACCACACAUUUAAAGAAAUUAAAUCAAAUAUCACAAUAAUAUCAAAUGCCACACAUUUAACGAAAUUAAAUCAAAUAUCACAAUAAUAUCAAAUGUCACACAUUUAACGAAAUUAAAUCAAAUAUCACAAUAAUAUCAAAUGCCACACAUUCAAACAAAUUAAAUCAAUCAACACCCUACAAAUAUUUCUAUUCUAUAUUUUAUUCUCACAAUUUCCAUAUUUUCACAUUAAUAAUUUAUCCCUCACAAGGCUAUUGCCAUACGUAGCGAGCCUCAGAUGAAUCGUUGGGAAAUAUGGUUUUCCCGUUCAUCUCACAAUAUAUUACACUCAUAAAUUCAAACGCUCUCUCACCCUUACCUUAUUUUGACGCUUUCACACACGAAUAUGAUUCCAUGAGCAAACAGCCUUUGUCCUUUGACUCUUUGUCCUUCAAUCGAUCUAACUCGACAAUUUAUGGGUAAACGUCAAAAAUAGAUUAUGAGAAGACACUCUAAAAAUUAAAUUUCCAAAAUCGGUCAAGUAAACUUACCAUAAAUUAGAAACUAAUCAGUGGAUAAUAUAACCACUUUUCGCACGAUCGUUUUGGCGUUGGUUUCACUCAAAUCGGACUUACGGUGAAGAAGAACGGUGCAAAAUAAUAAAUUCUACAAAUGGAGAAGUCGAGUAUUUUAGAGAGAAAUUGGGGUUGUUAAAAAUCUGGAAAAGUAGGUUUAAUUGACUAACUAAAUGUAUAAAAUAACAUACUGAAAUUUCGACGGAAACAAAGAAACUUUUCUGAGACAGUUAUCGACCGCCGGUAUCAAUUUUCUUCUAUUUUUCCUCCAAUUCUUCUUGGGAGCC